CGGGCAUCUCCACGGUCGACUUCCGCGACCCGACGACGGCCUGGUACAGCGCCGGCGACGGCGCAUGGCGGCUCGCCAUCGGGUCCAAGGACGCGCAGAAGACCGGCAUCGCGCUCGUCUACGCCACCAGGGACUUCAUCUCCUACGACCUCCUCGACGGCGUCCUCCACGCCGUCCCCCGAACCGGCAUGUGGGAGUGCGUGGACUUCUACCCGGUGGCACUGGAGGGGGUCAACGGUCUGGACACGUCGGCGAACGGCCCCGGAGUGAAGCACGUCCUCAAAGCCAGCCUCGACGACGACAAGCACGACUACUACGCCAUCGGCACCUACGACCUGGCGGCGAACAAGUGGACUCCCGACGACCCGGAGGCCGACGUGGGGAUCGGCCUCCGCGUUGACUACGGCAAGUACUACGCCUCGAAGACCUUCUACGACCAGAACAAGCAGCGGCGGCUGCUGUGGGGGUGGAUCGGCGAGACGGACAGCGAGAGCACCGAUCUCAAGAAGGGCUGGGCUUCCGUCCAG
rnacentral:lncRNA from 1 species